GACGGACGCUGGCGGCGUGCUUAACACAUGCAAGUCGAACGGUGACGAGGAGCUUGCUCCUCCGAUCAGUGGCGAACGGGUGAGUAACACGUGAGCAACCUGCCCCAGACUCUGGGAUAACAGUUGGAAACAGCUGCUAAUACCGGAUACGAGACGGAGAGGCAUCUCUACCGUCUGGAAAGUUUUUCGGUCUGGGAUGGACUCGCGGCCUAUCAGCUAGUUGGUGAGGUAAUGGCUCACCAAGGCGACGACGGGUAGCCGGCCUGAGAGGGCGACCGGCCACACUGGGACUGAGACACGGCCCAGACUCCUACGGGAGGCAGCAGUGGGGAAUAUUGCACAAUGGGCGAAAGCCUGAUGCAGCGACGCCGCGUGAGGGAUGACGGCC
rnacentral:rRNA from 1 species